UAAAAGGAUUUUUUUAUUGGUGCCCUAAAUCCACAAGCAUUAAAAAAAAAAAAAAUU
rfam:Acanthisitta chloris contig53702, whole genome shotgun sequence.